rnacentral:rRNA from 1 species
CCUACGGGAGGCAGCAGUGGGGAAUAUUGGGCAAUGGGCGCAAGCCUGACCCAGCAACGCCGCGUGAAGGAAGAAGGCUUUCGGGUUGUAAACUUCUUUUCUCAGGGACGAAGCAAGUGACGGUACCUGAGGAAUAAGCCACGGCUAACUACGUGCCAGCAGCCGCGGUAAUACGUAGGGGGCAAGCGUUAUCCGGAUUUACUGGGUGUAAAGGGCGUGUAGGCGGGAAAGGAAGUCAGAUGUGAAAACCAUGGGGUCAACCUGUGGACUGCAUUUGAAACUGUUUUUCUUGAGUACUGGAGAGGCAGACGGAAUGCGUGGUGGAGCGGUGAAAUGCGUAGAUAUUAGGAGGAACCCCAGUGGCGAAGGCGGUCUGCUGGACAGCAACUGACGCUGAGGCGCGAAAGCGUGGGGAGCAAACAGGAUUAGAUACCCGAGUAGUC